UAAUACGUAGGGGGCAAGCGUUGUCCGGAAUCAUUGGGCGUAAAGAGCGUGUAGGCGGCCAGAAAAGUCCGCUGUGAAAACUCGAGGCUCAACUUCGAGCUGUCGGUGGAAACUUUCUGGCUAGAGUCCGGAAGAGGAGAAUGGAAUUCCUGGUGUAGCGGUGAAAUGCGCAGAUAUCAGGAAGAACACCCGUGGCGAAGGCGGUUCUCUGGGACGGUACUGA
rnacentral:rRNA from 1 species